GAAAAUAUUUACCUCAGGCAAGAUUCAUCUCUCAAACUUAAAGCAGUAUGAAGUUGUUAGUUGUAUUAUCUGCUCUAGUAGCAGUAACAUGGGCUGCUGGUACAUCAGGUAUUGCCUUACGAUGUGGAAGAUGUACAGCAGAAGACAAAAGGAGCUGCUCCGACAAAUCUAAGGAUUGUUAACUAGUCCCUGGUCGCUGCAAUUGUUGUCAACGGUGUGGAUUAAAGAAGGCAAGCGUUGUGGUAUUUGGUCACCAAGAUGUGAAACUGGAUUAAUAUGCGAUCGUCCAUUCAAUGAAGAUCGAUUUGAUCCUGCUAUGUUAUCACCAGUCGGCACUUGUCGCAAAACUAGAAAGUUUGAGAAAUAAAAUU